GCACUGCAAAAAUCUUGUAGUCAAUAGAUGACGCCGUUUUCCCAUGCACUCGAUCGUCUGUGCUCACUUUUCUUGCCGGAAAAUUUUCAGUGAUGUACGCAUAUACUCAUACAAGUUGUAUACACCGUUAUGUAUAUAGGUAUUAUGCUGCAUAUCUUCUAUGGAGUAGCUCAUUGUUAAGAUUGAAAGGGGGAAAGAAUUACCAAUUCGGAUGGCUGGGUUUUGAUUUUUGAAUUGAGCUUUGCAUUGUUCGAUUGUUGAAAGGAGGAGAGGAGAAAAAAAUUAUUGUAUAUUUUUAUAAUUUCUGGGCUUUACUUUUGUUGCUAAUACAAUCAUUACAAUUUAAAAUCUUUUGGCUUUAAAAUCUUUUAGCUUAUUUGUUUUGGUUGUUGAAAUUGGAUUUUAAGAAAGUUUGCAGAGAUUGCGGGAUGUUGAUUGUUGA